rnacentral:rRNA from 1 species
UACGUAGGGUGCAAGCGUUAUCCGGAUUUAUUGGGUUUAAAGGGUGCGUAGGCGGGUUAUUAAGUCAGUGGUGAAAGCCUUCAGCUUAACUGAAGAAUUGCCAUUGAUACUGAUGAUCUUGAGUAUGAUUGAGGUGGGCGGAAUGUGUCAUGUAGCGGUGAAAUGCUUAGAUAUGACACAGAACACCGAUUGCGAAGGCAGCUCACUAAGUCAUAACUGACGCUGAUGCACGAAAGCGUGGGGAGCAAACAGG